rnacentral:rRNA from 2 species
UUAAUGUUAAGAUGAACCCUAAAAAGUUCUAAAAGCAUAAAGGUUUGGUCCUGACCUUAUUAUCAGUUGUCUCUUAACUUACACAUGCAAGUCUCAGCAACCCCGUGAGGAAGCCCUUAAACCCUACCCCAGGAUAAGGAGCUGGUAUCAGGCUCAAACUCUUGCCCACGACACYUAGUUUCCACCACGCCCCCAAGGGUCAUCAGCAGUGAUAAACAUUAACUAUAAGCGACAGCUUGACUUAGUUARAGAGAAGAUAGUUGGCUAAUUCGGUGCCAGCCGCCGCGGUUAGACCCYUGAACUAAGAAWUGAUAAUCGUCGGCGUUAAGCGUGAUUAAAGUUGUUAUARAAUUARAGUAAAACUCCUUGCCCAGCUGUGAAAAGCAWGCAUUCAGGAACUUCAUGAACGAAAGUCACUCUAUUAAACGCUKGAACACACGACAGCUAAGAGCACAAACUGG